CCUACGGGAGGCAGCAGUGGGGAAUAUUGCACAAUGGGGGAAACCCUGAUGCAGCGACGCCGCGUGAGUGCAGAAGUAUUUCGGUAUGUAAAGCUCUAUCAGCAGGGAAGAAAAUGACGGUACCUGAUUAAGAAGCCCCGGCUAACUACGUGCCAGCAGCCGCGGUAAUACGUAGGGGGCAAGCGUUAUCCGGAUUUACUGGGUGUAAAGGGAGCGUAGGCGGGUGCGCAAGUCUGAAGUGAAAUGCCGGGGGUGAACCCCGGAACUGCUUUGGAAACUGUGCAGCGCGAGUGCAGGAGAGGUAAGUGGAAUUCCUAGUGUAGCGGUGAAAUGCGUAGAUAUUAGGAAGAACCCCAGUGGCGAAGGCGGCUUACUGGACUGUAACUGACGUUGAGGCUCGAAAGCGUGGGGAGCAAACAGGAUUAGAUACCCGAGUAGUC
rnacentral:rRNA from 1 species